rnacentral:piRNA from 1 species
UUGCAACAAAGUUAAGCUGAUAGACCUCCUU